rnacentral:lncRNA from 1 species
AGCUGACUCACUCCUCACUCAUCGCUGCAUCCCACCCCUCAACCCUCCCAUCUCCCCCUGUGCCUUCCCUCAGGGCAUUGCGAUGGGCCCCAACAACUUCAGCAAUUAUAACCCCAUAUCCCACAUCUGCACACUACUUGGAGAGAAAAAGGAUACAAACAGACAACUUUAAGAAAAGAGAAAUAUCUCCAUAUCCUCUGUGCAACUUUUUCAGUUCCCUGAACACAACAUAUAUUUACUACAAGACUGGACUGAACCCACGUGGGACCAUCAACUGUAUGUAAAACUGUCUAGCUUUUAAUGAGUUGAUUGAAUAAUAAGCUGAGCUGAUUGAAUAACCUAAUAAUGUACAAGAGAUGCAUGAUACAGAUAAGUUAGCAAUGAUUCUUAUGUUCCUACUUUUGAAGAAAGUUUUAAGAUUCCACUACAGAAUUAUGUAACCAAUGACGUCACACAAAAAGAAAACUACAGAAGCCUUUAAUGCAAGGAGAAUGGAAUACAAGUAAGGUGACAAAAAAAUCCUUUUUGCCUAAUGUCUGACAGCUUAACCAAACAGUAUUAAAUACCUUUAUAUAAGUAUUUAAUUCUAGAUAUAUGCACAAAGUGUAUCUAAUCUGGCUUUUUUUGAACUCUGGUAAUCACUGAGUUUGAGUUACCGUGACAGCCACUGACCAUCAAACACUUCCCAUUCUCUAGCAGUUUUCCAUUUCCUACUUUUUUAUCAAAGGAGUAUAUUGUAAGAACCUACACUUUGCCACCGCAGAUAUCCCGGAUAAGAGUAUCUUCACUCUAGAACCCAAGAGCAGGUUUACUUGGCUGCAUGCACACCACUGCUGUCAUGUUCCCCUUUUCUUUGAAUCACCUUAGAGCUACCUUCACACUGGGAACUCUGGGGACACUGAGACAAGAAUAGAGCAGAGUGUGACUGUGUGCUGCUGCAUUCAAAAGAUUGACUCCAUAGAAAACCUGUAGAGAGUUGGGGACAGACAAUUAAUCCCCAUUUUAGGAGGUGGAAAAUAGGUACAGGGAAGGAUUGGGGACAUUUCCCAAGUAUGAUUAGAUACUCCCUCUGAAUUCAGUGUAAGGUUUUUGUUUAAAUAGGAUGUUUUCUCUCAAGCCUGUUGGUUUAAAUUCUUGGAACAUUGGACCAUGCAAUGGUCCUAGUUUUAUAAAAUCCUAGUUUUACAAAAUUAUCCUAGUUUUACAAAAUCAAGUGGACACCUGUAAAAGUGAUUAAUCUGAAAUAUAUGGAACUCCAUAACCAAGAAGUUACAGGGGAAUUGGAGGAUGUUGAGAAGUCUCAUCCUUUUUUUUCUUUUUUAUCUCUUUACUUAUGAAGCAAUAAAACAGUGGACUAUUGAAACUGAUUUAUCUGG